GGCUCUAGGAUGGUUAGGAUUCGUGGUUAGGGACCAUGUGGCCCCGGUUCAAAUCCGGGUGAGCCCA
rnacentral:tRNA from 1 species